ensembl:lncRNA
AAGAGACAGAGAUCAGAGAGAGGAGAGACACAGAAAGUGAGACUGGGGAGGGAGAUGAGAGAGAGAGAGAGAGAGAGACCAUAAGAGACGGGAGACAGACAAAAAGUGAGCAGGUGAGGAGAGAGAUUGAGAACUAUGAGAGACAGCAGCUAAGAGACAAAGGAGGCGGGAGACUGCCUGGGUGCCGCUGCAGCACCCACACCGUCCUCUUGCCCCCUGUCUUUGGGACCCUAGAGCUGGGUAAGUUCCCUGGCUGGGCUGGGAGGGCCUCUCUGGGUGCACAUUCCUGCUGCUGCGGGGCUUGGCUUGGGGAGUUGGCAGAGAUGCUUUGGGGGCGCAUGUGGGAGGGCGGGAGACAGGUAGCCUGGGGCAGCCGGAAGGAGGCAGGGAAUAGGGGGUCCUUAAGCUCAGAGAGGGUCAAAUUCCUGGCCUGAGUGCAGUGGGGAGGAAUAAAGGAUUCCCUAUUCUCUGGCCUGGGCUGCAGACAGCUGCCCCCUCCCGCAGCUGCCAGGGCCGCCUACCUCUCUUGGCACCACUCUUGGUAUGUGGUCACGGGCCAUGGCCUCCCCCAGCCCCUCAGUCCCGAAACAACAGGCUCUUUCUCUGCAGCCUCCUCAGACCUCCAAACCCCUGACCCCAUCUCUGUCCCGCACCCGUCACUGCGGAGACACAGCCCCUUUCUUUCUCUCCCCAGCCCUUGAUGGAGGGGAGCCGACCUCGAAGCAGCCUGAGCCUGGCCAGCAGCGCCUCUACCAUCUCCUCACUCAGCAGCCUGAGCCCCAAGGUUUGAGCUUCCUGGCGGGGAUGGGGAGGAAGGUGGGGCUCUGGGCCGCCCAUCCCUCUGUUUCCCCAAGGACUCUGGUUGUUAAGGACAAGGAUCCUUAGCAACAGGGUCUGCCAGACAGUAAGGUCCCAAAUUGCCUACCAGCCGCAGCUAGGAAUUCAGAGGCACUCCCAGCUCUGUCCCCACCCUUUGUAUUUUCCUAAUUCUAAACCAGAGUAACAACCUCCCUUGACCCUGGUUGCUAAGAUAAAGCCGCUCCCCAGCCAUGAGGCCCCUUGAGUUCUCAGAAGUAGCGGGCUGCUCUUGAUUAGUGCUAGAACUUGCUGUCCUAUCUCUUGCCAUCCAGUCUAUCCACUAAUGAAAUCCUAUAAGGAAAGACCCUUCUCUGACGGUAAGACCCAAGGGGCCCCCGGAUACUUGCAUCCCAAAUCGGCAUCCCGGCCAAAAGCUUAGGGAGACACUCAUUUCUUUUUCCUCCUGCCAUUCCACACAUGUCCUUUCCUGUGUUCGGAGCCCGGAGAUCUGACUCAGCCUUGGUCGGUACCACCGCUUCCCAGGAAGGGCAUAUUGUGGGGACCUGGCUAAGGAUGCCUGAGAUAUCUGUGGGCAUCGGGAGACGAGGCUCCAUCCAGGCAGGAUGGAGGGAUUUAAGGCUUCCUCUCCUUGGACUUGGUUGCUAAGGGGUGUGACCGCAGGGCACCAGGGCAUCCUUUGAUUCACCGGGGACUCAGCAUGAGAGUUCCCCCUGAUUAUGGGGACCUCCCAGCCCAUAGUCCCAGUUCACAUCCCAAAAGCCCCUACUACAGCUCUAGCUCUGGUGGCCAAGGGCAUCUGCUUCUUGGCAGUGGACCCUUGAUCAGGAAAUUGCUUCCCUACAGCCUCUUCCUUGCCUCUGAACACCUCCCUCCGCCCAUCAAAAAGAGAGUCUCGGCCCGACACAGUGGCUCAUGGCUGUAAUCCCAGCACUUUAAGAGUCUGAGGCGGGUGGAUCACCUGAGGUCAGGAGUUCGAGACCAGCCUGACCAACAUGGCGAAACCCUGUCUCUAGUAAAAAUACAAAAAUUAGCCAGGCGUGGUGGUACGUGCCUGUAAUCUCAGCUACUCGGGAGGCUGAGGCAGGAGAAUCACUUGAACCUGAGAGGUGGAGGUUGCAGUGAGCCAAGAUUGUACCAUUGCACUCCAUCCUGGCGACAGAGCAAGACUCUGC